UACAGAGGGGGCAAGCGUUAUCCGGAAUUAUUGGGCGUAAAGAGCUCGUAGGCGGUUUGUCGCGUCUGCCGUGAAAGUCCGGGGCUCAACUCCGGAUCUGCGGUGGGUACGGGCAGACUAGAGUGAUGUAGGGGAGACUGGAAUUCCUGGUGUAGCGGUGAAAUGCGCAGAUAUCAGGAGGAACACCGGUGGCGAAGGCGGCUUGCUGGGCCUUACCUGACGCUGAGGAGCGAAAGCGUGGGUAGCGAACAGG
rnacentral:rRNA from 1 species